AUUGAGUGGAACUAACAGCUCACAGUAAUGGAACUGCUCUCCGGAGAACACAAUAUGUAUCACUACCUCAUAAGAGAUACAACUGGAACAGAGCAAACUUCAAAUGAGCAAAGGAACCAGGGUGAAGCUAUUCUUUUAUCCAUGCCAGGACCAGAAAAAAAUCUAAGAGAAGCUUAAGAAAAGCAUCUCAAAAGAAGAGUUUUAAUCCUACCUUUCAUGCCAGUGCAGUGCCUGUUAACCUCGCUGUACAGGGAGUUCAGUCUACACAGCCUCAUAAAAUCAAUGUUCUUCAAAGAAGAAUUCUGCAAAUUAUGUCUAUCAGCACAGCAAAGGAGAACUGAUCAUUGAAGCUAGGAUUCAAGAAGUAAUCUAUUUGCUUAUGAACUGUCACCUAACCCCAACAGGUUAGUUAUUGCUCUCACUCAAACCUAUACAAGCCAAGGUAGC